UACAGAGGGUGCGAGCGUUAAUCGGAAUUACUGGGCGUAAAGCGUGCGUAGAUGGUUAUGUAAGUCGGAUGUGAAAGCCCAGGGCUCAACCUUGGAAUUGCAUUCGAGACUGCAUAGCUAGGAUGCGGAAGAGGGAAGCGGAAUUUCCGGUGUAGCGGUGAAAUGCGUAGAUAUCGGAAGGAACACCAGUGGCGAAAGCGGCUUCCUGGUCCAGCAUCGACGUCAGGCACGAAAGCGUGGGGAGCAAACAGG
rnacentral:rRNA from 1 species